GAUGAACGCUGGCGGCGUGCCUAAUACAUGCAAGUCGAGCGAACAGACGAGGAGCUUGCUCCUCUGACGUUAGCGGCGGACGGGUGAGUAACACGUGGAUAACCUACCUAUAAGACUGGGAUAACUUCGGGAAACCGGAGCUAAUACCGGAUAAUAUAUUGAACCGCAUGGUUCAAUAGUGAAAGACGGUUUUGCUGUCACUUAUAGAUGGAUCCGCGCCGCAUUAGCUAGUUGGUAAGGUAACGGCUUACCAAGGCAACGAUGCGUAGCCGACCUGAGAGGGUGAUCGGCCACCCUGGAACUGCGACACGGUCCAGACUCCUACGGGAGGCAGCAGUAGGGAAUCUUCCGCAAUGGGCGAAAGCCUGACGGAGCAACGCCGCGUGAGUGAUGAAGGUCUUCGGAUCGUAAAACUCUGUUAUUAGGGAAGAACAAAUGUGUAAGUAACUAUGCACGUCUUGACGGUACCUAAUCAGAAAGCCACGGCUAACUACGUG
rnacentral:rRNA from 1 species